CAGUAGCCACGGUAAUACGUAGGGUGCAAGCGUUAAUCGGAUUUACUGGGCGUAAAGCGUGCGUAGGCGGCUUUUUAAGUCGGAUGUGAAAUCCCUGAGCUUAACUUAGGAAUUGCAUUCGAUACUGGGAAGCUAGAGUAUGGGAGAGGAUGGUAGAAUUCCAGGUGUAGCGGUGAAAUGCGUAGAGAUCUGGAGGAAUACCGAUGGCGAAGGCAGCCAUCUGGCCUAAUACUGACGCUGAGGUACGAAAGCAUGGGGAGCAAACAGGAUUAGAGACCCGCGUAGUCCCUGUCUCUUAUAA
rnacentral:rRNA from 1 species